rnacentral:rRNA from 1 species
AUUGAACGCUGGCGGCAGGCCUAACACAUGCAAGUCGAACGAGUGGCGGACGGGUGAGUAAUGUCUGGGAAACUGCCUGAUGGAGGGGGAUAACUACUGGAAACGGUAGCUAAUACCGCAUACCAUCGGAUGUGCCCAGAUGGGAUUAGCUUGUUGGGGGGGUAAAGGCUAACCAAGGCGACGAUCCCUAGCUGGUUUUAGAGGAUGACCAGCCACACUGGGACUGAGACAAGGUCCCGAUGCCUAAGGUAGGCAGAAGGGGGGAAUAUUGCACAAUGGGCGGAAGCCUGAGGCAGCCAUGCCGCGUGUAUGAAGAAGGCCUUCGGGGUGUAAAGUACUUUCAGCGGGGAGGCGUUACCCGCAGAAGAAGCACCGGCUAACUCCGUGCCAGCCGAGGCGGUAAUUC